rnacentral:rRNA from 1 species
UUGCUCUAGGGGAUUAGUGGCGAACGGGUGAGUAACACGUGAGUAACCUGCCCUUGACUCUGGGAUAACCUCCGGAAACGGAAGCUAAUACCGGAUACGACGUACGGAGGCAUCUCCUGUACGUGGAAAGAACUUCGGUCAAGGAUGGACUCGCGGCCUAUCAGGUAGUUGGUGAGGUAACGGCCCACCAAGCCUACGACGGGUAGCCGGCCUGAGAGGGUGACCGGCCACACUGGGACUGAGACACGGCCCAGACUCCUACGGGAGGCAGCAGUGGGGAAUAUUGCACAAUGGGCGCAAGCCUGAUGCAGCAACGCCGCGUGAGGGACGACGGCCUUCGGGUUGUAAACCUCUUUUAGUAGGGAAGAAGCGAAAGUGACGGUACCUGCAGAAAAAGCACCGGCUAACUACGUGCCAGCAGCCGCGGUAAUACGUAGGGUGCGAGCGUUGUCCGGAAUUAUUGGGCGUAAAGAGCUCGUAGGCGGUCUGUCGCGUCUGCUGUGAAAACCCGAGGCUCAACCUCGGGCUUGCAGUGGGUACGGGCAGACUAGAGUGCGGUAGGGGAGAAUGGAAUUCCUGGUGUAGCGGUGGAAUGCGCAGAUAUCAGGAGGAACACCGAUGGCGAAGGCAGUUCUCUGGGCCGUAACUGACGCUGAGGAGCGAAAGCGUGGGGAGCGAACAGGAUUAGAUACCCUGGUAGUCCCCCCGUAAACGUUGGGCGCUA